CCUACGGGUGGCAGCAGUGAGGAAUAUUGGUCAAUGGCCGGAAGGCUGAACCAGCCAAGCCGCGUGAGGGAAGAAGGUACAGAGCAUCGUAGACCUCUUUUGUCGGGGGACAAAGGCCGGGACGCGUCCCCGGAUGAGUGUACCCGAAGAAAAAGCAUCGGCUAACUCCGUGCCAGCAGCCGCGGUAAUACGGAGGAUGCGAGCGUUAUCCGGAUUUAUUGGGUUUAAAGGGUGCGCAGGCGGGCCUUUAAGCCGGCGGUAAAAUCGCGGGGCUCAACCCCGGCGAGCCGUUGAUACUGGGGGUCUUGAGUGCGACAGAAGUAUGCGGAAUGCGCGGUGUAGCGGUGAAAUGCAUAGAUAUCGCGCAGAACCCCGAUUGCGAAGGCAGCGUGCCGUGUCGCCACUGACGCUGAGGCACGAAAGCGCGGGGAUCGAACAGGAUUAGAUACCCUUGUAGUC
rnacentral:rRNA from 1 species